rnacentral:rRNA from 1 species
GAUGAACGCUGGCGGCGUGCCUAAUACAUGCAAGUCGAGCGAAUGGAUUAAGAGCUUGCUCUUAUGAAGUUAACGGCGGACGGGUGAGUAACACGUGGGUAACCUGCCCAUAAGACUGGGAUAACUCCGGGAAACCGGGGCUAAUACCGGAUAACAUUUUGAACGGCAUGGGUCGAAAUUGAAAGGCGGCUUCGGCUGUCACUUAUGGAUGGACCCGCGUCGCAUUAGCUAGUUGGUGAGGUAACGGCUCACCAAGGCAACGAUGCGUAGCCGACCUGAGAGGGUGAUCGGCCACACUGGGACUGAGACACGGCCCAGACUCCUACGGAAGGCAGCAGUAGGGAAUCUUCCGCAAUGGACGAAAGUCUGACGGAGCAACGCCGCGUGAGUGAUGAAGGCUUUCGGGUCGUAAAACCCUGUUGUUAGGGAAGAACAAGUGCUAGUUGAAUAAGCUGGCACCUUGACGGUACCUAACCAGAAAGCCACGGCUAACUACGUGCCAGCCGCCGCGGUAA